rnacentral:tRNA from 1 species
AGGAAAUUAGUUAAAAUCAUAAUUUAAGGUUGUCAGCCUUAAGUAACUAAACAUAUCUUAGUAUUUCCUA